AAACUUUACAAUGCGGGAAACCGUGAUAAGGGGACACCGAGUGCUAGCGUCAUAUGCUGGCUGUCCAGGUGUACACCUGUAGCAAGGGCCGGCAAGACCGGUGCCAGCCGCCGCGGUAACACCGGCGGCCCGAGUGGUGAUCGUGAUUAUUGGGUCUAAAGGGUCCGUAGCCGGUUUGAUAAGUCUCUGGUGAAAUCCUAUAGCUUAACUGUGGGAAUGCUGGAGAUACUAUCAGGCUUGAGGUCGGGAGAGGUUAGGGGUACUCCCAGGGUAGGGGUGAAAUCCUAUAAUCCUGGAGGACCACCUGUGGCGAAGGCGCCUAACUGGAACGACCUGACGGUGAGGGACGAAAGCUGGGGGCACGAACCGGAUUAGAUACCCGGGUAGUCCCAGCCGUAAACGAUGCUCGCUAGGUGUCAGGUGGUGCCGCAGGGAAGCCGUGAAGCGAGCCACCUGGGAAGUACGGCCGCAAGGCUGAACUUAAAGGAA
rnacentral:rRNA from 1 species